UACGUAGGGGGCAAGCGUUGUCCGGAAUUAUUGGGCGUAAAGAGCGCGUAGGCGGUCCGGUAAGUCGGUUGUGAAAGUCGGGGGCUCAACCCUCGGAUGCCGAUCGAUACUGUCGGGCUAGAGUCCGGAAGAGGCGAGUGGAAUUCCUGGUGUAGCGGCGAAAUGCGCAGAUAUCAGGAGGAACACCAAUGGCGAAGGCAGGUCACUGGGCCGCAACUGACGCUGAGGAGCGAAAGCAUGGGGAGCGAACAGG
rnacentral:rRNA from 1 species